rnacentral:rRNA from 1 species
GGCGGCGUGCCUAAUACAUGCAAGUAGAACGCUGAAGGAGGAGCUUGCUUCUCUGGAUGAGUUGCGAACGGGUGAGUAACGCGUAGGUAACCUGCCUGGUAGCGGGGGAUAACUAUUGGAAACGAUAGCUAAUACCGCAUAAGAGUAGAUGUUGCAUGACAUUUGCUUAAAAGGUGCAAUUGCACCACUACCAGAUGGACCUGCGUUGUAUUAGCUAGUUGGUGGGGUAACGGCUCACCAAGGCGACGAUACAUAGCCGACCUGAGAGGGUGAUCGGCCACACUGGGACUGAGACACGGCCCAGACUCCUACGGGAGGCAGCAGUAGGGAAUCUUCGGCAAUGGACGGAAGUCUGACCGAGCAACGCCGCGUGAGUGAAGAAGGUUUUCGGAUCGUAAAGCUCUGUUGUAAGAGAAGAACGAGUGUGAGAGUGGAAAGUUCACACUGUGACG